AGAGUUUGAUCCUGGCUCAGGAUUAACGCUGGCGGUAUGCCUAAUACAUGCAAGUCGUGCGGGGGGAUUUAUCCCCUAGCGGCGAACGGGUGAGUAACACGUACCUAACUUACCCCAAUGACUGGGAUAACUGAGGGAAACUUCAGCUAAUACCGGAUAGGAUCUUUGAAGGCAUCUUCUUAGGUUUAAAGGUGGGUAUCCAUCACAUUGGGAUAGGGGUGCGCAGCAUUAGCUUGUUGGUGAGGUAACGGCUCACCAAGGCAACGAUGCUUAGCCGGUCUGAGAGGACGAACGGCCACACUGGAACUGAGACACGGUCCAGACUCCUACGGGAGGCAGCAGUAGGGAAUUUUCCACAAUGGGCGAAAGCCUGAUGGAGCAAUACCGCGUGAAGGAUGAAGGUUUUAGGAUUGUAAACUUCUGUUAUAGAGGAAGAAUAAUACCGGUAGGAAAUGAUCGGUGUCUGACGUUACUCUAUCAGAAAGAGACGGCUAACUACGUGCCAGCAGCCGCGGUAAUACGUAGGUCUCAAGCGUUAUCCGGAUUUACUGGGCGUAAAGCGUCCGCAGGUGGUUUGACAAGUCAAAGGUUAAAGCCUGGAGCUCAACUCCAGUUCGCCUUCGAAACUGUCAGACUAGAGUGUGAUAGAGGGUAGUGGAAUUCGAUGUGUAGCGGUGGAAUGCAUAGAUAUAUCGAGGAACACCAGUGGCGAAGGCGGCUACCUGGGUCAUCACUGACACUCAUGGACGAAAGCGUGGGGAGCAAACAGGAUUAGAUACCCUGGUAGUCCACGCCGUAAACGAUCUGUAUUAGGUGUAGGGUCAAACCUGUGCCACAGCUAACGCAUUAAAUACAGCGCCUGGGUAGUAUGCACGCAAGUGUGAAACUCAAAGGAAUUGACGGGGACCCGCACAAGUGGUGGAGCAUGUGGAUUAAUUCGAUGCAACGCGAAGAACCUUACCAACGUUUGACAUCUUCUGCAAUGCUAUAGAGAUAUAGCGGAGGCUAACAGAAUGACAGGUGGUGCAUGGUUGUCGUCAGCU
rnacentral:rRNA from 1 species